CCAAUCUGCACAGACUACAGCUGUAUCUACCUCUUGUGCUACACCUGUUCUUUCUACGUGUGCUACACCUGGUAAGUUUUAAAACCUUUUUUCUUUUAACAUGUGUAUGCAUUUCUUAUCAAUUGCAUAUUCUUUUUUGCAAUUGCAGGUCUUGUUUUAAAUAAAAAAGUACUUAAUGCAUUAGCUUAACGCGAUUUUGACGUCAUAAAAUUAUCUUUAUUUUUUUUAUAGACAUUAAGUGUUUUAAC